GAUGAACGCUGGCGGCGUGCCUAAUACAUGCAAGUCGAGCGAACGGACGAGAAGCUUGCUUCUCUGAUGUUAGCGGCGGACGGGUGAGUAACACGUGGAUAACCUACCUAUAAGACUGGGAUAACUUCGGGAAACCGGAGCUAAUACCGGAUAAUAUUUUGAACCGCAUGGUUCAAAAGUAAAAGACGGUCUUGCUGUCACUUAUAGAUGGAUCCGCGCUGCAUUAGCUAGUUGGUAAGGUAACGGCUUACCAAGGCAACGAUGCAUAGCCGACCUGAGAGGGUGAUCGGCCACACUGGAACUGAGACACGGUCCAGACUCCUACGGGAGGAAGCAGUAGGGAAUCUUCCGCGAUGGGCGAAAGCCUGACGGAGCAACGCCGCGUGAGUGAUGAAGGUCUUCGGAUCGUAGAACUCUGUUAUUAGGGAAGAACAUAUGUGUAAGUAACUGUGCACAUCUUGACGGUACCUAAUCAGAAAGCCCCGGCUAACUACGUG
rnacentral:rRNA from 1 species